CUUUUGAUCUAAAGCGGUUUCGAAAUACAAGUUAUUCGAUCUUUCUAACAAGAGAAAACCCAUUUGUUUGAUCUGCUUCUUCACUAACAUUGCUAACUUGACAACAGUUUCUACUGUAAGUCUUUCUUUUUUACUCCCUUUUAUCAAAUUUAGUUAAAAAUUUCAGUAUUAUUGUGAUUUAUGUGAUUUGGGUAGCUGUUAUUUUUCACUAUAAUUGUUUGUUUUUGCAAGUUUAGAGAUCUUAAUGCAAGUAUGGAUAGAUUGAGAAGAAACCCAAUUUGUGAUUUCAUCAAAUAUGUGUUGUGCAAAUUUUGCUACAAAGUUUAAUUGGUUGUAUUGAUUUGGUCUUAUUUUGAUGCAAAAAUAUAACCCCCAAAUUUGAAAAUGCUGCAAGUCGUGUCUAAAACAUAUUUGCAUUGAGAAUUGUUGUAAUGUGGGAAAGUCCGAAGUUGUGUAGUUUGUUUUUGAUAGAAUCCUAUACCAAAAUUGAUAAAGAACCCUAAGAUUAAUCUUUUGAUUGGAGAUCAAACCACCUUCUUGAUCUUUUGAUUAGAGACCGAACUACCUAAACCUUAAUAUUAUAUUACUUUGCUUAAUAAUUCAAUUACAAUAAUAAUCCUUAUAUAGGAGAAAGCAAGAAACCUACUUAACCUAGACUCCCUAAUUAAAUAAAUAACAACUUAGAAAUAAAUAAUAAUCCUAGCCUAAGUCAAAUAGAAUUAUAGUACUAGUUUCCUAACAUUCCACCGCGCUUGAAAUUCGGCUUGUCCUCAAGUCGAACUAGAACUCAUGUAACCUCUGAACGAACCGAAGAAGAAGCAACCAAAGUAGAUGGUUCAGCCUCCAAAAUCAAAACUUGAGAAUAUGUGCACUUGUGCCCUGGCUUGAAAACUUCAUCACAAUUGAAACAUAAACCUUUGCGGCGACGCUCUUGUUGUUCAUCCCAGGAUAAAUGACGAACUUUUGGUGUAGAUGAUGCUUGUUUUUGAGGGCUAUUGGAAGAUUUGAUAAUUGAAGAACUCACAAAAUUUUGUUUUGAGAAUUCUUGGAUAGCACUAAAUUCCUCCUCUUUAGCAAGAGCCAUAUCAAAAGCCUCUGUUAACAUAGUAGGUCGAAGAGUACACAAACCAGCUUUAAUAUCAUCAUGCAACCCAGAUAUAAACAUACUAAUCAGAUGUGCUUCUGGAAGACCAGGAACCAGAUUGGCAAGUCGCUCAAAAUCUCGUUGAAAAUCACGAACAUAACCUGUUUGUUGAAGUUUGGAAAGAGAGCCACAAGGAUCGCGAUGUUCACGCGAUCCAAAACGAAUACAAAGAGUACGAGAAAAAUUUUGCUAAUUUAAUACACCAACAGAAUGACGAAUCCAACGGUACCAAGCAAUAGCAUCACCUGUUAAGUGAAUAGAUGCAACAAAAACCAAUUGUUCAUCAAAAAUACCAUGCAAUACUUGAUAUUGUUCUGCACGAAAAAGCCAAUCUUCUGGAUCAACACCUUCAAAUUUUGGAAAAUCAAUACGAAGUGUCCUUCCUUGAAACUGUAAUCCAGGAUGUGUUACUCGGCCUUGUUGAACCAAAUUGGGUUGUUGAACAACUGGAGGCAAUAAAGCAGGACCUAGAGGUUGUUCUGGAAGUGGAGGUUCACGCAGAGCCAUAUUGUUAUUUGGAACAACACCGUUUUUGUUUGGAAGAUUCGACAAAAUAAGAUUUUUCAAUUCAGCGAUGCCUUCGUCGAGUGAUAUUUUUAAUUCAGCAACUCGAUUAUUAGUUUCCUUCAAACUCGCUUCAAUUGCAUCAACCCGAUCACUAACUUCUUUAACGGUAACCAUAAUGGAUUGUGGGUAAAAAGAACAAAUACUAAUCUAAAGGAAACUACUACCAACGGUGAUGAUGAUGGUUUGAAGAUCGAACAACUUGGAUGAGAAAAAAAUUUGCCCUCGGAUCGAAACUGCUCUGAUACCAGAUGAUAGAAUCCUAUACCAAAAUUGAUAAAGAACCCUAGGAUUGAUCUUUUGAUUGGAGAUCAAACCACCUACCUAAACCUUAAUAUUAUAUUACUUUGCUUAAUAAUUCAAUUACAAUAAUAAUCCUUAUAUAGGAGAAAGCAAGAAACCUACUUAACCUAGACUCCCUAAUUAAAUAAAUAACAACUUAGAAAUAAAUAAUAAUCCUAGCCUAAGUCAAAUAGAAUUAUAGUACUAGUUUCCUAACA
rnacentral:lncRNA from 1 species